GCGGGAUUAGUUGAAUGGUACAACGCGACCUUCCCAAGGUUGAGGCACGGGUUCGAUUCCCGUAUCCCGCUCCA
rnacentral:tRNA from 1 species